AGAAAAUUAUAUUGGGAAGUUGUCAUUUCGACAGUAAAAACAGCUUUUUUUCAAGUAGUACGAAAUGUGACUUCGAUUUAUCUGUGGAACUAUUUGAACAGAAGGUAAAGCAGUAAUUUUGUUGUAUUUAGAAAGCAAACAGGGUCAUAUUUUUAAAAAUAUAGCGCACUGAAUAUAAAUUUGAGCAUCAUUAAAAUGUGUUCGCUAUGAUGCCAUUUUGUCUUCGGUAUAUACGGAGUAGUGGAGUACUGCUUUUAUACUGGUGGAUAUUCGAAUUUAUUUGGCUCAAAAACACCAUUACUUCAAUAUCCCUUUCUUGUUUUUCCUUGGAUAGGUUUUAACAAGAUAGAACUCUAGAUCACUUGGGUCCAAAGACGCUAGAUUAUAAAAUCCUGAUGUGACUUGAUACUACAAAUAGAAUAUGUCUUAUGAUUUAAUACCACAAAUAGAAUGUCUUUUAAGUACAAACUUCAAUGAAUUGAUAAAGUGUAAGGAUAGUGUUUAAAGUCGCUUCAUGUGUAGAAGCUGAAUUACUUUAGUUUAUACACUGUAUUGUCAAGUUCACAUGUUGAUAUGACUUACUAACAACUUGCAAUAAGUGGUCUGUUCUGCUUGUUUAUAAAACUUUAGAGUUUGGACAUUAGAACAUUGUAAUUGCCUGACAGAGACUGUUAGGGCCUGUUUGUAUGGAAGCCGGGCUGGCCCGCUUAGCAAGACAGCCCGGUAAGGUAGGUAAGCAGGAUGAUUUCUCUUGUGUUUAUUUGAGAAAAUUUCAUCCCACUUACCGGGACAAUUUUGUUGUUUUGACAUUAUUUUGACAGUUGUUAAAAAUAGCUUGCGGCAGUAUCUUUGAACUUUCAUCCCGGCAACCGGGCUAGCCUGCUUAUGAUUGUUUAUGUGGAGAAAUUUCCAUCCUGGUCUUGGCAACCAGGCCUGCCCGCUUGUCCAUAGAAAUGAUAAUAUUUACUAUAAAAAUAACUAGACAGCAAAAUCUCACUUACCGGGCUGUCUCACUUAGCGGGCCAGCCAGUUUCAAUAUAAACAGGCCCUUAGACAAGUGCUAAAAGCUGCAAGUUUCUUUAAAGCAAUAUCAUCUAUAUAUCACAGAAUACAGUUUCUGUAGUGACAUACUUGUGUAACUUUUUCUGUCUUUAAAGUGUAUUAUGUUUGUAAUAUUUUUGUACAAUACCUUAUUGAAAUUGUUGAUACUGGU